rnacentral:lncRNA from 1 species
CUAGCAAAGUGCAUGAUUCAUGUCUAGGCUGCUAUGAGAUAUGAUAUGGUAGAAUAGAGUUACUAUGAUCUUGUUCUAUGUGAUGCUUGAUAUCCGAACUUUUAUUUUUGAAAAUGCUAAAAUGAUAAAUUCCUCAAUGAUGAGAAAUUCCUAUCCAAGGCCAUAUGCGAUCCUAUUACAUAGCCUCCACAUAUGCUACUUGUUCUCUCAUUGAGCUUUGUCAAAUUGUUGUGACCCUUAGUGAGAAACUUAUCAUACUCCCAUAAUCAAGACACGUAUACACCACCACCAUAUGCUAAACUUAUACACCGGAAGUUAGCAAUCAUCAUUUCAUCCAUCCACAAAAUAAAGCUUCAUGUUGUUUUAUGACCUCUCUCUCCAAAGUUAUCCUUGAGAAAGAGACUUGGGCUAUGCAAAAAGAAAUAAACUACAUGCUCAUGAAAAGCAUGAUGAAAAAAAAGAGCAAGAAAAGAUAGCCCAUGUCUCAAAAGAAAGAAAGCAAGGAGAGAGAAGGAUAAUACAAAAAGGAGUCCAUAUACCAUCCACCAUAUUCACCAUCCACACACAUGCACAUCUUGAUCAGGUUGUAUAACUUGCUUCUCCAAAGGAUCUGGUCUUUGACUUAGCAGUAUAUGAGGAAUAUGUAUACCUUCAUUCUUCC